rnacentral:rRNA from 1 species
AAACUCGGAAAUAGCUGGUUCUCCGCGAAAUCUAUUUAGGUAGAGCGUCAUAUAUCAUCAUCGGGGGUAGAGCACUGGAUGGGCUAGGGGGUCCCAACGACUUACCAAACCUAACCAAACUCCGAAUACCGUUGAGUAAUAUCUGGCAGACACACUGCGGGUGCUAAGGUCCGUAGUGGAAAGGGAAACAGCCCUGACCGUCGUCUAAGGUCCCUAAGUUAUGGCUAAGUGGGAAAGGAUGUAGGGAUCCCAAAACAACCAGGAGGUUGGCUUAGAAGCAGCCAUCCUUUAAAGAAAGCGUAACAGCUCACUGGUCUAAAUAAGGGUCCCCGCGCCGAAAAUGUACCGGGGCUAAAGCCAUACACCGAAGACACGGGUUUGCAUGUUUACAUGCAAGCGGUAGCGGAGCGUUCCGUAAGCCUGCGAAGGGUGACUCGCGAGAGCACCUGGAGGUAUCGGAAGUGAGAAUGCUGACAUGAGUAGCGAUAAAGAGUGUGAGAGACACUCUCGCCGAAAGCCCAAGGGUUCCUGCGCAAUGCUAAUCAGCGCAGGGUUAGCCGGUCCCUAAGGCGAGGCCGAAAGGCGUAGUCGAUGGGAAUGCAGUUAAUAUUCUGCAGCCUGAUGAGAUGUGACGGAUGACGUAUAUCGUGCCGACUUAUUGGAUUGUUGGCGCGGUGAAGUUGUUCCAGGAAAUAGCCUCAUCAUUAAAGACCGUACCCCAAACCGACACAGGUGGGCAGGUAGAGCAUACCAAGGCGCUUGAGAGAACUAUGCUGAAGGAACUCGGCAAAAUGCCUCCGUAACUUCGGGAGAAGGAGGCCCUAUACUUGGGCAACCAGGUAUAGGGGGCACAAAAUUGGGGGUGGCGACUGUUUACUAAAAACAUAGGGCUCUGCGAAGUUGCAAAACGACGUAUAGGGUCUGACGCCUGCCCGGUGCCAGAAGGUUAAAAGGAGUGGUGAGAGCCGCGAAUUGAAGCCCUGGUAAACGGCGGCCGUAACAAUAACGGUCCUAAGGUAGCGAAAUUCCUUGUCGGGUAAGUUCCGACCUGCACGAAUGGCGUAACGACUUCCCCACUGUCUCCAGCAUAGACUCAGCGAAAUUGAACUCUCCGUGAAGAUGCGGAGUUCCCGCGGUUAGACGGAAAGACCCCGUGCACCUUUACUACAGCUUCGCAGUGGCAAUUGUGAUAGUACGUGUAGGAUAGGUGGUAGGCUUUGAAGCGAGUUCGCUAGUUCUCGUGGAGCCAUCCUUGAAAUACCACCCUUAUUCUUACGAUUGUCUAACCGCGGUCCGUUAUCCGGAUCCGGGACCCUGCGUGGUGGGUAGUUUGACUGGGGCGGUCGCCUCCCAAAGAGUAACGGAGGCGCGCGAUGGUGGGCUCAAGCUGGUCGGAAAUCAGCUGUCGAGUGCAAUGGCAUAAGCCCGCCUGACUGCGAGACUGACAGGUCGAGCAGAGACGAAAGUCGGUCAUAGUGAUCCGGUGGUUCCGCGUGGAAGGGCCAUCGCUCAACGGAUAAAAGGUACGCCGGGGAUAACAGGC